rnacentral:tRNA from 1 species
GGGCCGUUAGCUCAGUUGGUAGAGCAUCUGACUUUUAAUUAGGUGGUCGCGCGUUCGAGCCGCGCACGGCCCACCA